UUCUGGAAUGAAAGCUUCCUGAAAGGAAUCUAUUUCCCUGUGGGACUGCCCAGCUUUCAGCCCUGCUUCUGGGGGAAGAGUUCAUCACAGGACACCUCGUGUAUCUGCUCCGGUUUGAAACCAAACAGACUGAGAAAUGUUGAGAAACCCAGGUCCCAGCCAUCACCCACUGCUGGAGCCUGUGGGGCUGAGCUGGACCCCAGGGAGGAGCACUCUGUGCCAAUGCCCUGCCCUAAGGAAUCAAAUCCCAUCUCACCAUCCUGGCAGAAUGGAUUAAAAUGAACCACAGUGUGUUUGUGCUCAGAAACCUGCCCUGGUGUCCUUUGGCUGCUGGAGAAAAAAAGACUUGCAGGGGAGUAAAACUGUUUAGAGUGCAAUUCUCCUGGACAGAAGCAGCUGGAAUCUUUGUGUUAACUCUGAGGAAUGGAAGCCCCAAGGCACACAGUUCUUGCUUUAUUAACUGGGGACGUAGUUUAAAGCAAAAUUUCACCUUUCCCAUCAUUAAGGAAGAUGAAGGAGGGCAGCAUGACAAUGGUCUGCACCAGAUGCCCCCUGCUCAGACACAUAAUGGAGCUGGGGAGGCUUUUCUGUGGAAACACUCUGGUCCUGGA